rnacentral:rRNA from 1 species
UGGGGGAUUUUGCACAAUGGGCGCAAGCCUGAUGCAGCGACGCCGCGUGAGGGAUGAAGGCCUUCGGGUUGUAAACCUCUUUCGCUGGGUUGAAAGGCCAUGCUUUGGGUGUGGUUGAUUUGAACUGGUAAAGAAGUACCGGCUAACUACGUGCCAGCAGCCGCGGUAAUACGUAGGGUACUAGCGUUGUCCGGAUUUAUUGGGCGUAAAGGGCUUGUAGGUGGUUUGUCGCGUCUAUCGUGAAAUCCUGUGGCUUAACCAUGGGCUUGCGGUGGGUACGGGCAGGCUUGAGUGCGGUAGGGGAGACUGGAAUUCCUGGUGUAGCGGUGGAAUGCGCAGAUAUCAGGAGGAACACCGGUGGCGAAGGCGGGUCUCUGGGCCGUUACUGACACUGAGGAGCGAAAGCGUGGGGAGCGAACAGG